UGAGGGAAUAUUGGGUCAAUGGUCGCGAGACUGAACCAGCCAAGUAGCGUGCAGGAUGACGGCCCUCCGGGUUGUAAACUGCUUUUAGUUGGGGAUAAAGUGAGGGAUGCAUCCCUUUUUGUAGGUACCGCAUGAAUAAGGACCGGCUAAUUCCGUGCCAGCAGCCGCGGUAAUACGGAAGGUCCGGGCGUUAUCCGGAUUUAUUGGGUUUAAAGGGAGCGUAGGCCGUCUGUUAAGCGUGUUGUGAAAUGUCGGGGCUCAACCUGGGCAUUGCAGCGCGAACUGGCAGACUUGAGUGCGCAGGAAGUAGGCGGAAUUCGUCGUGUAGCGGUGAAAUGCUUAGAUAUGACGAAGAACUCCGAUUGCGAAGGCAGCCUGCUGUAGCGUAACUGACGCUGAAGCUCGAAAGCGUGGGUAUCGAACAGGAUUAGAUACCCUGGUAGU
rnacentral:rRNA from 1 species